rnacentral:rRNA from 1 species
UGGGGAAUAUUGGACAAUGGGCGCAAGCCUGAUCCAGCCAUGCCGCGUGUGUGAAGAAGGCCUUCGGGUUGUAAAGCACUUUUGUCCGGAAAGAAAUCCUGUCGGCUAAUACCCGGCGGGGAUGACGGUACCGGAAGAAUAAGCACCGGCUAACUUCGUGCCAGCAGCCGCGGUAAUACGAAGGGUGCAAGCGUUACUCGGAAUUACUGGGCGUAAAGCGUGCGUAGGUGGUUUGUUAAGUCUGAUGUGAAAGCCCUGGGCUCAACCUGGGAACUGCAUUGGAUACUGGCUUACUGGAGUGCGGUAGAGGGUGGCGGAAUUCCCGGUGUAGCAGUGAAAUGCGUAGAUAUCGGGAGGAACAUCCGUGGCGAAGGCGGCCACCUGGACCAGCACUGACACUGAGGCACGAAAGCGUGGGGAGCAAACAGGAUUAGAUACCCUGGUAGUCCACGCCCUAAACGAUGCGAACUGGAUGUUGGGAGCAAUUAGGCUCCCAGUAUCGAAGCUAACGCGUUAAGUUCGCCGCCUGGGAAGUACGGUCGCAAGACU